rnacentral:misc_RNA from 1 species
AACGCACAUUGCGCCCGCCAGCAUUCUGGCGGGCAUGCCUGUUCGAGCGUCAUUUCACCCCUCGACCCCGCGUUUAGUGGGGUCGGCGUUGGGGGACGGCACUACCCCGCCGCCCCUGAAAUGAAGUGGCGGCCCGUCCGCGGCGACCUCUGCGUAGUAACUCAACGCGCACCGGAACCCCGACGUGGCCACGCCGUAAAACACCCAACUUCUGAACGUUGACCUCGAAUCAGGUAGGACUACCCGCUGAACUUAA